rnacentral:rRNA from 1 species
CUAAACAUCUAGCCCCACCCUCCCCUUAUUCUAACCCUUUAUUUACUUCCCACCAUACUAAAACAUUCUAUCAAUCUAGUAAAGGCGAUUAAAAAAUUCAUCGGAGCAAUAAAUUCAGUACCGCAAGGGAAAAAUGAAAUAGAGCUGAAACAGCCUUUAAGCACAAAAAAGUAGAGCUUAUCUCUCGUACCUUUUGCAUCAUGAUUUAACUAGUCUAACCAAGCAGAAAGAUUUUUAGUUUGACUUCCCGAACCUUGGCGAGCUACCUUAAGACAGCUUUUUGAGCUCAUCCAUCUCUGUUGCAAAAGAGUGGAGUGAUCUUAAGGUAGAGGUGACAGACCAAACGAGCCUAGUGAUAGCUGGUUGCUCAUGAAAAGGAUUUUAGUCCAGCUUAAAGACUUUUUGUAUUACAAAACCUCGUCUUUAAAGUAAUUCAAGUAAGGUACAGCCUACUUGAAAAAGGAUACAACCUCCACUUUUGGGUUAUUAAUUUCUACGCUGUGGAAAAGUAGGCCUAAGAGCAGCCACCUUGAACAAAAGCGUCAAAGCUUUAUCACAUCUUCAAAUAAUCCCAUUAUUUCCAUUUAACCCCUUAUUUUUAAAGAGCAGCUCUAUACUCAUAUAGAAAAUUUCAUGUUAAAACUAGUAAUUAGAAGAAAACCUUCUCCUUAAUGCAAGUGUACAUCAGCAAGGAUACCCCACUGAUCCUUAACACUCAUAAUAAUGAAGUAACAACUCCUCAAGAAAAUCUUACUUCCACCCUCGUUACCCUAACACAAGAGCAUUUUAGGAAAGAUUAAAAGAAAAAGAAGGAACUCGGCAAAUUUUAGCCUCGCCUGUUUACCAAAAACAUCGCCUCCCGAUACCUAUGGGAGGUCCAGCCUGCCCAGUGACAUUGUUCAACGGCCGCGGUAUCCUAACCGUGCGAAGGUAGCGUAAUCACUUGUUCUUUAAAUGAGGACUAGUAUGAAUGGCUCCACGAAGGCUAUACUGUCUCCUUUUUCUAAUCAACGAAACUAAUCUUCCCGUGAAGAAGCGGGAAUCUCCCUAUAAGACGAGAAGACCCUAUGGAGCUUUAAACAAUCGAAAUACUUGCUUCUAUAACUCACAUUUUCUGAAUUAACAAUUUAGCCUAGCAUUUUAUUUCUAGUUUUAGGUUGGGGUGACCAUGGAGAACAAAAUAACCUCCACGCUGAAAGAGAAUUCACCUCUAAGCACCAAGCCUCAGCUUAGUGUAUCAAUAAUUUGACUACCAUUGACCCAAUUAUUUGACCAACGAACCAAGUUACCCUAGGGAUAACAGCGCAAUCUAUUUCAAGAGCUCAUAUCGACAAAUAGGUUUACGACCUCGAUGUUGGAUCAGGGUAUCCCAGUGGUGCAGCCGCUACUAAUGGUUCGUUCGUUCAACGAUUAAAACCCU